rnacentral:misc_RNA from 1 species
UCCGGUUUGGCACCGGCAGUCUUCCCAGAGUCCCCGCCAUUACGCGCUGGCAACUGGGAACGGGGGUUGCGCUCGUUGCGGGACUUAACCCAACAUCUCACGACACGAGCUGACGACAGCCAUGCAGCACCUGUGCACGAGCUCCGAAGAGGGGCCCCUGUAUCCAGAGGCUUUCCCGUACAUGUCAAGCCUAGGUAAGGUUCUUCGCGUUGCGUCGAAUUAAACCACAUGCUCCACCGCUUGUGCGGGCCCCCGUCAAUUCCUUUGAGUUUCAGCUUUGCGGCCGUACUCCCCAGGCGGGACACUUAUUGCGUUAGCGACGGCACCGGGAGGGUCGCUCCCCCCGACGCCUAGUGUCCAUCGUUUACGGCGUGGACUAC